rnacentral:rRNA from 1 species
CUGAGUACGGCGGAACACGUGAAAUUCCGUCGGAAUCCGGGAGGACCAUCUCCCAAGGCUAAAUACUCCCUAGUGACCGAUAGUGAACCAGUACCGUGAGGGAAAGGUGAAAAGCACCCCGGAAGGGGAGUGAAACAGUUCCUGAAACCGUGUGCCUACAAGUAGUUAGAGCCCGUUAAUGGGUGAUAGCGUGCCUUUUGUAGAAUGAACCGGCGAGUUACGAUUUGUUGCAAGGUUAAGCGGAAAAAGCGGAGCCGUAGCGAAAGCGAGUCUGAAUAGGGCGCAUAAGUAACAGGUCGUAGACCCGAAACCAGGUGAUCUACCCAUGUCCAGGAUGAAGGUAAGGUAAUACUUACUGGAGGUCCGAACCCACGCACGUUGAAAAGUGCGGGGAUGAGGUGUGGGUAGCGGAGAAAUUCCAAUCGAACUUGGAGAUAGCUGGUUCUCUCCGAAAUAGCUUUAGGGCUAGCCUCGAGGUAAAGAGUCAUGGAGGUAGAGCACUGUUUGGACUAGGGGCCCUUCUCGGGUUACCGAAUUCAGAUAAACUCCGAAUGCCAUGUACUUAUACUCGGGAGUCAGACUGCGAGUGAUAAGAUCCGUAGUCGAAAGGGAAACAGCCCAGACCACCAGUUAAGGUCCCCAAAUAUAUGUUAAGUGGAAAAGGAUGUGGGGUUGCUUAGACAACCAGGAUGUUGGCUUAGAAGCAGCCACCAUUGAAAGAGUGCGUAAUAGCUCACUGGUCGAGUGACCCCGCGCCGAAAAUGUACCGGGGCUAAACAUAUUACCGAAACUGUGGAUGAACCUCUUUAGAGGUUCGUGGUAGGAGAGCGUUCUAAGGGCGGUGAAGUCAGACCGGAAGGACUGGUGGAGCGCUUAGAAGUGAGAAUGCCGGUAUGAGUAGCGAAAGAAGGGUGAGAAUCCCUUCCACCGAAUAUCUAAGGUUUCCUGAGGAAGGCUCGUCCGCUCAGGGUUAGUCGGGACCUAAGCCGAGGCCGAUAGGCGUAGGCGAUGGACAACAGGUAGAGAUUCCUGUACCAGUGCU